AGCCGUGUGGUAAGCACAAAGCGAAUUAUUCUUUCGCCUUUUACUAAAAAUUACCGUGUGCAUGCCAUUUAUAAAUGGCAUACACCUAUUUUUGAAGGGUCUUUUUCUUUGGACUG